GAAUGUCAGGGAGAUCUGGCUGUGACAUCUGUCACCCCAUUGACUGUGAUGCUGGACUUUGCCGCUCUGGAUGGCUGGUGUAGGUCCCCUUUCUCGUCACCCACUCCAUAUGCCUUCCCUCCCAAAGCGGUUUGUGCUGGGUCAUGGAGGACAGCCUUCCACACGAGAGCAGGGUGGUUCUUCUCUCACAGAGGCACCUGCAGCUGUGCUCCCUGAUAGUUUCCCAAAGAAGCUCUCAAGAAGUUUGUGUGGUAGAGUAGAUUUGGAGUAUAGAAUAAUAAAUUUUAUAAGAUAUUUUGAGGUUUAGAAAGAAGUUU
rnacentral:snRNA from 1 species